UACGUAGGUGGCAAGCGUUAUCCGGAAUUAUUGGGCGUAAAGAGCGCGCAGGUGGUUAAUUAAGUCUGAUGUGAAAGCCCACGGCUUAACCGUGGAGGGUCAUUGGAAACUGUGCAGCUCGAGUGCAGGAGAGGUAAGCGGAAUUCCUAGUGUAGCGGUGAAAUGCGUAGAUAUUAGGAGGAACACCGGCGGCGAAGGCGGCCUGCUGGACCGUAACUGACGUUGAGGCUCGAAAGCGUGGGGAGCAAACAGG
rnacentral:rRNA from 1 species